rnacentral:rRNA from 1 species
UACGUAGGGUGCGAGCGUUUAAUCGGAAUUACUGGGCGUAAAGCGUGCGUAGGCGGUUCGUUAAGUUCGUUGUGAAAGCCCCGGGCUCAACCUGGGAAUGGCAAUGGAAACUGGCGGGCUGGAGUAUGGCAGAGGGGGGUGGAAUUCCACGUGUAGCAGUGAAAUGCGUAGAGAUGUGGAGGAACACCGAUGGCGAAGGCAGCCCCCUGGGCUAACACUGACGCUCAUGCACGAAAGCGUGGGGAGCAAACAGG